GGGGGUGUGGCUCAGUGGUAGAGCACUUGCUUGGCAUGUGUGAAGCCCUGAGUUUGAUUCUCAGCACUGCAU
rnacentral:tRNA from 1 species